GAGUUUGAUCCUGGCUCAGAAUCAACGCUGGCGGCGUGCCUCAGACAUGCAAGUCGAACGAUUAAAGCUCUCUUCGGAGAGUGUAUAGAGUGGCGCACGGGUGAGUAACACGUAAGUAAUCUACCCUCGAGUGGGGAAUAACGUCCGGAAACGGACGCUAAUACCGCAUAAUGCAGCGGCACCGCAAGGUGACAGUUGUUAAAGGAGAAAUUCGCUUGAGGAGGAGCUUGCGGCAGAUUAGCUUGUUGGUAAGGUAACGGCUUACCAAGGCUACGAUCUGUAACCGGUCUUAGAGGACGGUCGGUCACACUGACACUGAAUAACGGGUCAGACUCCUACGGGAGGCAGCAGUCGGGAAUUUUGGGCAAU
rnacentral:rRNA from 1 species